rnacentral:rRNA from 1 species
GACGAACGCUGGCGGCGUGCUUAACACAUGCAAGUCGAACGGAAAGGCCCUGCUUUUGUGGGGUGCUCGAGUGGCGAACGGGUGAGUAACACGUGAGUAACCUGCCCUUGACUUUGGGAUAACUUCAGGAAACUGGGGCUAAUACCGGAUAGGAGCUCCUGCUGCAUGGUGGGGGUUGGAAAGUUUCGGCGGUUGGGGAUGGACUCGCGGCUUAUCAGCUUGUUGGUGGGGUAGUGGCUUACCAAGGCUUUGACGGGUAGCCGGCCUGAGAGGGUGACCGGCCACAUGGGGACUGAGAUACGGACCAGAGUCCUACGGGAGGCAGCAGUGGGGAAUAUGGCACAAUGGGCGGAAGCCUGAUGCAGCAACGCCGCGUGCGGGAUGACGGCCUUCGGGUUGUAAACCGCUUUCGCCUGUGACGAAGCGUGAGUGACGGUAAUGGGUAAAGAAGCACCGGCUAACUACGUG